rnacentral:lncRNA from 1 species
GGGUGUCCAGGCCUAUCGACCGAAGUCCGGCUGGAGUGUCUGGCGGAGAGGGGUGGCUAGUUGCCCGUCUGAGAGGAACUCGGAGUCCUGCUCUCGUUGGAGUUCGGACGAAGUCUUCCUUCAGUUGAAGUCGGAGACGAGAUCUGGCUCCUGUAGGAGCUCGGGCGAAGUCUACCUGCAGUCAAAGUCAGGGGUGAAGUCUGGCUCCCUUAGGAGUCCGGACGAAGUUCACCAGCAGUCAGGGUCG